ensembl:miRNA mir212 microRNA mir-212
GGUCAGCGCAUCAACACCUUGGCUCUAGACUGCUUACUGCUAAAACCGCUCAUAAGUACAGUAACAGUCUACAGUCAUGGCUACUGACGCCUGAC